GGGAGUUUGGUCUAGUGGUAUGAUUCUCGCUUCGGGUGCGAGAGGCCGCGAGUUCGAUUCUCUCAACUCCCC
rnacentral:tRNA from 1 species